GAUGAACGCUGGCGGCGUGCCUAAUACAUGCAAGUCGAGCGAAUGGAUUAAGAGCUUGCUCUUAUGAAGUUAGCGGCGGUCGGGUGAGUAACACGUGGGUAACCUGCCCAUAAGACUGGGAUAACUCCGGGAAACCGGGGCUAAUACCGGAUAAAAUUUUGAACCGCAUGGUUCGAAAGUGAAAGGCUGCUUAGGCUGUCACUUAUGGAUGGACCCGCGUCGCAUUAGCUAGUUGGUGAGGUAACGGCUCACCAAGGCAACGAUGCGUAGCCGACCUGAGAGGGUGAUCGGCCACACUGGGACUGAGACACAGCCCAGACUCCUACGGGAGGCAGCAGUAGGGAAUCUUCCGCAAUGGACGAAAGUCUGACGGAGCAACGCCGCGUGAGUGAUGAAGGCUUUCGGGUCGUAAAACUCUGUUGUUAGGGAAGAACAAGUGCUAGUUGAAUAAGCUGGCACCUUGACGGUACCUAACCAGAAAGCCACGGCUAACUACGUGCCAGCCGCCGCCGUAA
rnacentral:rRNA from 1 species